rnacentral:rRNA from 1 species
AUGGUCGUUCCGCCGCCGAGUCGGCGGCAGCAGCAGCGGCGGAACCGGCCAAAGCAAACCCUCCGCCGUGGAGGGGAAGGAGGAGGACGCGGAGGAGCUCGGCGUCACGCCGCAGCUCCUCGACUUCCUCUGGACACUCUCCCCCGACGCCUUCAAGAGGAUCCGCGGAGUCGGCGGCCGAGCUCUCGGACUGGCAGCAGCGGCAUGCCGUCCUCGUGCUCGCCAGAGCCAAGGUAG